GUGAUGUCACGUUUGAGAGUAGCUCCAGAAAGAAGAAGGAAUCUAAGUGUAUUUGACGAUUUAUUUUGUUUCUGUAAGAGUUUUGUUUACCCUUCUGUCUAUGUCGAUAGACUAUGGUUUUGUUCAGCGUUUUAGUUUUGAAUUACUCUCGAGAAUCGCGGAAGAAAAGUGAAGUUUUGAGCAGCACGCGUCCAGCGCGUGAUCAAGGAAAAUAGAUGGCGAGCCACCAGAGCUAGGAGCUACGACUGGACUGGGUGUUUGUGCGUCGAAAGAAACGGGGAGAGUGGACAUCGCAGUGAAGGCCGGGUGCUUCAGCCUUUCCCUUCCUUCCCUGCCGAGGAUCCAUCACCAACCGUGCUUUGUACACUGUUUGGAGGACUGUGGCCCCGACGAUGACGACCACUAGAGCCGUCAGGAUGGAGGGACCCGAAUACCCAGCGGCGACGAACCUUGGCGAAGACGGCAAGGAGAGUGUGGAGGGGGCGGAGCGCAAAGCCCGAGCUCCCCCAAGAGAUGCGAGUCAUGCGACUGGCGGCGGGAGGAGGAGAACGAGGACGAUGGUACCGGCCACGAGAAGCACCAGGGCACGGAGUGAGUCCCGAGCUGCAGCCUGGGGGUGGUGAUGAGGAGAUGGAGCAGCGAGCUCUCAUUCCCUCUCGGCUCAGUGCUCACACUUUAAUGACAGCCAGUUGAUGCUGAUGUGGCUGGCAGCAGAGCGCAUUUUUAAAUAGCUGAGAGGGAGCAGAGAGACGAGCAGCAGUAGAGGACUGACGAGCUGAUAAGCUUAAUGAAGAGAAGGACUGAAAAGUCUACCUGAAGCCAUUGAAAAGUGGCUAGCAUAGUUUUUUUCAUUGGUUCUGUUUGCUUUGUUUAUUUGGUGGGUGUGAAUUAAAAUAUGACUGCUGCAAAGGUGAA